UAUAAUUGCAGUGUAUUUCAAAAUACUAUGCUUUAUGAAAUCUUAAGCAACUUCAAUAAAAUGAUGACAAUGGCUCGUGUUAGGUUUUCUAGGUUUAUAAUUACAAUUUGAAUAACAAAGCAAUGAAGCUUGUGUGAUGGCAAUAUUUAACUCUUAAGAGAAAAAAAAUUACAAAACUUAAUAUUAGACAAAUUUGUUUAUAAGCUCGCAACAUUGUUUUCAGACAAUAAAUAAAUCUAAAUUUUAUUUGGAAAAGAAGUAGAAUGCAACAUUCAAAAAGUGACUUUUAGAUCAAGUCUGUAUAUCUGUCGAAAACCCAAUUGUAAAGUUAGAGCGAUGCAAUAGCCGAGCCCAUAUAUAUAUCUGAAUAUAUAUCUGUCAAAGAUCGUUCAAAUACAGAAAAUGUCACAAAUUUGUGACAUUUUCUGUAUUUCUUUUUGUUAAGGCUUUACCUGAAUAUUUGCUACCUAUUAUUUUUUUCAAAUAAAACUUUUAAUAAUUA